rnacentral:rRNA from 1 species
CAGCGCCGCGGUAAUACGAAGGGUGCAAGCGUUAAUCGGAAUUACUGGGCGUAAAGCGUGCGUAGGCGGUGAGUUAAGUCUGCUGUGAAAUCCCCGGGCUCAACCUGGGAAUGGCAGUGGAUACUGGCUCGCUAGAGUGUGUCAGAGGAUGGUGGAAUUCCCGGUGUAGCGGUGAAAUGCGUAGAGAUCGGGAGGAACAUCAGUGGCGAAGGCGGCCAUCUGGGACAACACUGACGCUGAGGCACGAAAGCGUGGGGAGCAAACAGGAUUAGAUACCCGCGUAGUCCCUGUCUCUUAUACA